rnacentral:rRNA from 1 species
AGGGUUUGAUCAUGGCUCAGAUUGAACGCUGGCGGCAUGCCUAACACAUGCAAGUCGAACGGAAACGAUGGGAGCUUGCUCCCAGGCGUCGAGUGGCGGACGGGUGAGUAAUACUUAGGAAUCUACCCAGUAGCGGGGGACAACUCGAGGAAACUCGAGCUAAUACCGCAUACGCCCUACGGGGGAAAGCAGGGGAUCUUCGGACCUUGCACUAUUGGAUGAGCCUAAGUCGGAUUAGCUUGUUGGUGAGGUAAAGGCUCACCAAGGCGACGAUCCGUAGCUGGUCUGAGAGGACGAUCAGCCACACUGGGACUGAGACACGGCCCAGACUCCUACGGGAGGCAGCAGUGGGGAAUAUUGGACAAUGGGCGCAAGCCUGAUCCAGCAAUGCCGCGUGUGUGAAGAAGGCCUGCGGGUUGUAAAGCACUUUCAGUAGAGAAGAAAAGCCUACGGUUAAUACCCGUGAGUCUUGACGUUACCUACAGAAGAAGCUCCGGCUAACUCCGUGCCAGCAGCCGCGGUAAUACGGAGGGAGCGAGCGUUAAUCGGAAUUACUGGGCGUAAAGCGCGCGUAGGCGGCUUUGUAAGUCGGAUGUGAAAGCCCUGGGCUCAACCUGGGAAUGGCAUUCGAUACUGCAGAGCUAGAGUAUGGUAGAGGGAAGUGGAAUUUCCGGUGUAGCGGUGAAAUGCGUAGAUAUCGGAAGGAACACCAGUGGCGAAGGCGACUUCCUGGGCCAAUACUGACGCUGAGGUGCGAAAGCGUGGGGAGCAAACAG